rnacentral:tRNA from 1 species
CGGAGAUUAGCGCAGUCCGGUAGCGCGCCUGCUUUGGGAGCAGGAUGUCGCAGGUUCGAAUCCUGCAUCUCCGACCA